GUUGGUGUAGCUCUGCGGUAGAGUGCAUGCUUUGUAUGCAUGACGUCCUGGGUUCAAUCCCCAUCUUCUCCC